GACGAACGCUGGCGGCGUGCCUAAUACAUGCAAGUCGAGCGCAGGAAGCUCACGGAACUCUUCGGAGGGAAGUGAAGGGAAUGAGCGGCGGACGGGUGAGUAACACGUAAGGAACCUGCCCCAAGGAUUGGGAUAACUCCGAGAAAUCGGAGCUAAUACCGAAUAGUUCUUCAGACCGCAUGGUCUGAUGAUGAAAGGCGCUCCGGCGUCACCUUGGGAUGGCCUUGCGGUGCAUUCGCUAGUUGGUGGGGUAAUGGCCCACCAAGGCGACGAUGCAUAGCCGACCUGAGAGGGUGAUCGGCCACACUGGGACUGAGACACGGCCCAGACUCCUACGGGAGGCAGCAGUUGGGAAUCUUCCACAAUGGACGAAAGUCUGAUGGAGCAACGCCGCGUGAGUGAUGAAGGUUUUCGGAUCGUAAAACUCUGUUGUAAGGGAAGAACAGGUAUGAGAGGUAAUGCUCAUGCUAUGACGGUACCUUACGAGAAAGCCACGGCUAACUACGUGCCAGCCGCCGCCGUAACAC
rnacentral:rRNA from 1 species